UACAGAGGGUCGCAAGCGUUGUUCGGAAUUACUGGGCGUAAAGCGCGUGUAGGCUGCUGGGCAAGUCGGAUGUGAAAGCCCCUGGGCUCAACCCAGGAAGUGCAUUCGAAACUGGCCGAGCGUGGAGUCCUGGAGAGGAAGGCGGGAAUUCUCGGUGUAGAGGUGAAAUUCGUAGAUAUCGAGAGGAACACCGGUGGCGAAGGCGGCCUUCUGGACAGUGACUGACGCUGAGACGCGAAAGCGGUGGGGAGCAAACAGGG
rnacentral:rRNA from 1 species